CUGACGUCUCUAAGAUCAUGUUCUUGGCAUCGACCCGUGUGCCCUGGGCUCCAAACGCGAGGUCCUGAUCAACAGUAACGGUGCCGGGGGAGGGGACAUAGAGGUGACAGCAUACUCACCCACCAAGCGACCAUUGACGUGCCCCGUCAAGGUGGAGGAUGGUGUGUACGCUGCCACCUUCCAGCCAGACGAGGCUGGUCAGUGGUCCAUUGCUGUCUGUUACGACGAUGAGCACAUCCAGGGCUCACCCUUCACCUGCCACGUCUACGACCCUCACAGUCUCAAGCUCCACGGCUUGGAGAAGGGUCCACAUUCUGACGCUGGGAAGUCCUUCACCUUCGUGGUGGACGCUACAGAGUGCGGGUGGGGUGACGCCAAGGUUGACGUGACGCAGGGAGGUCGUUCACUACACUCCAACACGCUGGAGGUCGACCGUGGCCUCUACGAGGUCACCUUCACACCCUCGCAGGCUGCCAAGCACAAGAUUUACGCUUAUUUUAAUGGCCACGAAGUCAAAGGUUCACCCUUCUCACUGCACUUGGGAGUUGAACCUCCGCCUGACAGGAAGGACUCAAAGUCAAAGAAGAAAAAAUCUUCCAGUAGAGAAAACAAAGAUCCCAAG